rnacentral:tRNA from 1 species
GUGGGCGUAGCUCAGUAGGUAGAGCGCCAGAUUGUGGAUCUGGUGGUCGCGGGUUCAAACCCCGUCGCUCACC